AGUGAACGCUGGCGGCGUGCUUAACACAUGCAAGUCGAACGAGAACGGGUUAUAGCUUGCUAUAAUUGUCAGCUAAGUGGCGCACGGGUGAGUAAUGUAUAGGUAAUAUGCCUCUUACUAAGGGAUAACAAAUGGAAACGUUUGCUAAUACCUUAUACUCCUUAUUAACAGAAGUUAAUAAGGGAAAGAUUUAUUGGUAAGAGAUUAGCCUGUAUUGUAUCAGUUAGUUGGUGGGGUAAUGGCUUACCAAGACUAUGACACAUAACUGGUUUGAGAGGAUGAUCAGUCACACUGGAACUGAGACACGGUCCAGACUCCUACGGGAGGCAGCAGUGGGGAAUAUUGCACAAUGGACGAAAGUCUGAUGCAGCAACGCCGCGUGGAGGACGACACAUUUCGGUGCGUAAACUCCUUUUAUAUGAGAAGAUAAUGACGGUAUUAUAUGAAUAAGCACCGGCUAGCUCCGUGCCAGCAGCCGCAGUAAAAC
rnacentral:rRNA from 1 species